rnacentral:rRNA from 1 species
AUUGAACGCUGGCGGCAGGCCUAACACAUGCAAGUCGAGCGAGCGGCGGAGGGGGGAGUAAUGUCUGGGAAACAGCCUGAUGGAGGGGGGUAACUACUGGAAACGGUAGCUAAUAUCGCAUAUCAUCUGAUGUGCCCAGAUGGGAUUAGCGAGUGGGUGGGGUAACGGCUCACCCAGGCGACGAUCCCUAGCUGGUCUGAGAGGAUGACCAGCCACACUGGAACUGAGACACGGUCCAGACUCCUACGGGAGGCAGCAGUGGGGAAUAUUGCACAAUGGGCGCAAGCCUGAUGCAGCCAUGCCGCGUGUGUGAAGAAGGCCUUCGGGUUGUAAAGCACUUUCAGCGGGGAGGCGUUACCCGCAGAAGAAGCACCGGCUAACUCCGUGCCAGCAGCCGCGGUAAUAC